GAAACCCGGGAAGACUCUGUUUGUCCUUCAGGCCUGCCCGAAAGGCUGCACCAAACAGGGAUCCAGUAACGACAUUGUAAACGCGAUAAUGGAACUGACGAUGUAGCCGCCGGAGGGAGGAGCCUUUUUUGGUGUUUCAGAGAAGAGUAAAAUACAGCUAAAUUUAAAAUUUGUACUAUUUCUAUCGGUUAAUAAAGUUGUGGCUUAUUGUUGGUGAAA